AGGGGAUAAAAGGCUGGGCUAAAGAACAGGAAGGGCAGAUGCUUGCAGCCUUCUGAAGUGACCUGGUGUUACUCUGUGUGGGCAGACACCUGAAGCCUUCUGAUGUGCUGUGCCAUAUCUUCCUGCAGCCACAGAGUCCCAUAGGAGGCUUGGCAAGAACAGACUCUCGUGGUGACCAUCUCCUGAUAGCACCAAGCCCAUGGCUGCAGGAGCAGUGUUUCACUCACAGUUACUGGUGGUUCUUCACUCCCCAAGGCCCAAGUCCUCCAUGUUAUAACACUUUAAGAGGAUGUCGUGUUCCCCCCAGAUGAGAGUGCAUUUCAGUGAGGGGGGAGCUCAUUUUUCUGCUUCAUUUAUAUAAUGGGGUGUCAUUAAUCUUUGUAAGGUCUUUGGAGAGUGUCAUAUGGGAGAUAGUGCCCAAGUGACAAAUAUUAAAUUAAUUACGACUAGUAGCAUUCUGUUAAAAAAAGAAAAAGCAACCUGAGUUGCCUGUGUAGAGGCUAUUUAUUGGUUUUGUGAGUGGCACUGAAGGAUGUGUACAGAGUAAGAUCAUGUCAGAGAACACAAUGAUGAUCUGAAAGGUAAAACUAUCCUUUGCUGAUAAACUUUUACUGCCAUCAGUUGAGGAACAGUUCAUUCUCUGCACUAAAUUCAAAACCAUAAUCCCUUAGGGAAAAGGCUAGUGCAUUAAGGACAGUGCAUCCAUCAAAUGCACCACCCAGUCCCCUCAAGCUUUUUUCUUUUUGGAAUGGCAAGAUUUAUGGGAUUUCUGCCACUCAGUACCUUACAAGACAAGAAACACUAGUGCUAAGAAAGGUUACAAAACUGCCAAGUUUGGCACAUGCCCUAUCAGCUUUCCUGACUUUUGACACAACCAUGAACCAA